rnacentral:rRNA from 1 species
AUCUCGAAAGGGAUGCUAAUACCGCAUACGUCCUACGGGAGAAAGCAGGGGAUCACUUGUGACCUUGCGCUAAUAGAUGAGCCUAAGUCGGAUUAGCUAGUUGGUGGGGUAAAGGCCUACCAAGGCGACGAUCUGUAGCGGGUCUGAGAGGAUGAUCCGCCACACUGGGACUGAGACACGGCCCAGACUCCUACGGGAGGCAGCAGUGGGGAAUAUUGGACAAUGGGGGGAACCCUGAUCCAGCCAUGCCGCGUGUGUGAAGAAGGCCUUAUGGUUGUAAAGCACUUUAAGCGAGGAGGAGGCUUACCUAGUUAAUACCUGGGAUAAGUGGACGUUACUCGCAGAAUAAGCACCGGCUAACUCUGUGCCAGCAGCCGCGGUAAUACAGAGGGUGCAAGCGUUAAUCGGAUUUACUGGGCGUAAAGCGCGCGUAGGCGGCCAAUUAAGUCAAAUGUGAAAUCCCCGAGCUUAACUUGGGAAUUGCAUUCGAUACUGGUUGGCUAGAGUGUGGGAGAGGAUGGUAGAAUUCCAGGUGUAGCGGUGAAAUGCGUAGAGAUCUGGAGGAAUACCGAUGGCGAAGGCAGCCAUCUGGCCUAACACUGACGCUGAGGUGCGAAAGCAUGGGGAGCAAACAGGAUUAGAUACCCUGGUAGUCCAUGCCGUAAACGAUGUCUACUAGCCGUUGGGGCCUUUGAGGCUUUAGUGGCGCAGCUAACGCGAUAA